CAUCAUCAUUAUUCUGAUUCUCACCAAAGGAAUUUAACAAAUCACCGAAAAGUAUAGUCAUUAAAGGCAUACAUAUUCCGUUACCAACAGCACCAAUGGUACCAACAAUCAUCAACACGUAAUCAGUUAAAUCAGCAAAAGCAAACAGCUUAUAAAACGGCACCGUAUCGGUACUCUCCUUCUCCUUUUCCUCCUCCUUCUCCUUCUCUUCAUCUAACCGAGCGUCAUUGGAGGUAGAUGCCUCCGGUUUAUCCUCACCAUUCAUCAUACAAAUACGGUGUCGUUUCACAACACUCUUUGAUAAUGGCGGAUGAACACAGAGAGCAGAGAAGAUGCUCCGUAAAGUGCGGUUGACGAAAAGUGAGGAAUAUGAAUAUUAUAUAUGUGUUUAGAGUUGUAAUUCAGCUGUUGAAAAUAAUGAAUGGGUGGUGGUUG
rnacentral:lncRNA from 1 species